UCCCUAACUAUGGGUGCAAUCUUUCGUGUC
rnacentral:piRNA from 1 species